AGGGUUGUAGUUAAAAAUAACAGUUAAUUUGCAAUUAAAAAGUGCUUAAAUAUAAGCCUAUCUUU
rnacentral:tRNA from 1 species